rnacentral:rRNA from 1 species
GAUGAACGCUGGCGGCGUGCCUAAUACAUGCAAGUCGAGCGAACAGACGAGGAGCUUGCUCCUCUGACGUUAGCGGCGGACGGGUGAGUAACACGUGGAUAACCUACCUAUAAGACUGGGAUAACUUCGGGAAACCGGAGCUAAUACCGGAUAACAUGUUGCACCGCAUGGUUCAACAGUGAAAGACGGUUUUGCUGUCACUUAUAGAUGGAUCCGCGCCGCAUUAGCUAGUUGGUAAGGUAACGGCUUACUAAGGCAACGAUGCGUAGCCGACCGAAGUGGGGGAUCGGCCACAUUGGAAGUGAGACAGGGUCAAGAGUCCUACGGGAGGCAGCAGUAGGGAAUGGUCCGCAAUGGGCGAAAGCCUGACGGAGCAACGCCGCGUGAGUGAAGAAGGUGUUGGGAUCGUAAAACUCUGUUAUGAGGGAAGAACAAAUGUGUAAGUAAAUAUGCACGUCUUGACGGUACCUAAUCAGAAAGCCACGGCUAACUACGUG